rnacentral:rRNA from 1 species
GAUCAUGGCUCAGGACGAACGCUGGCGGCGCGCCUAACACAUGCAAGUCGAACGAGCGAGAGAGAGCUUGCUUUCUCGAGCGAGUGGCGAACGGGUGAGUAACGCGUGAGGAACCUGCCUCAAAGAGGGGGACAACAGUUGGAAACGACUGCUAAUACCGCAUAAGCCCACGACCCGGCAUCGGGGUAGAGGGAAAAGGAGCAAUCCGCUUUGAGAUGGCCUCGCGUCCGAUUAGCUAGUUGGUG